rnacentral:tRNA from 1 species
GCCUUGGUUGCUGAGUGGUUAAGUGCUUGGCUGCUAACCAAAAGGUUCGUAGUUCGAAUCUACUAGCUGCU